rfam:Triticum aestivum genome assembly, contig: Triticum_aestivum_CS42_TGACv1_scaffold_514400_6BS
CAAAUACUCUCUCCAUCCGGAAAUACUUGUCAUCAAAAUGGAUAAAAGGAAAUGUAUCUAGACGUAUUUUAGUUUUAGAUACAUCUAUUUUUAUCCAUUUUGAUGACAAGUAUUUUCAGACGGAGGGAGUAGAAA